GUGCCAGCAGCCGCGGUAACACGUAGGGGGCAAGCGUUGUCCGGAUUUAUUGGGCGUAAAGAGCUCGUAGGUGGCUCGGUAAGUCGGGUGUGAAAUUUCGAGGCUCAACCUCGAGACGCCACCUGAUACUGCUGUGGCUAGAGUCCGGUAGGGGAGCGUGGAAUUCCUGGUGUAGCGGUGAAAUGCGCAGAUAUCAGGAGGAACACCAGCGGCGAAGGCGGCGCUCUGGGCCGGUACUGACACUGAGGAGCGAAAGCGUGGGGAUCAAACAGGAUUAGAUACCCUGGUAGUCC
rnacentral:rRNA from 1 species